rnacentral:rRNA from 1 species
CAGUCGCCGCGGUAAUACGAAGGGGGCUAGCGUUGUUCGGAAUCACUGGGCGUAAAGGGUGCGUAGGCGGGUCUCUAAGUCAGGGGUGAAAUCCUGGAGCUCAACUCCAGAACUGCCUUUGAUACUGAAGAUCUUGAGUUCGGGAGAGGUGAGUGGAACUGCGAGUGUAGAGGUGAAAUUCGUAGAUAUUCGCAAGAACACCAGUGGCGAAGGCGGCUCACUGGCCCGAUACUGACGCUGAGGCGCGAAAGCGUGGGAGCAAACAGGAUUAGAUACCCCCGUAGUCCCUGUCUCUUAUACA